CCAGCUUGCUGGAUGCUGACGAGCGGCGGACGGGUGAGUAAUGCAUAGGAAUCUGCCCGAUAGUGGGGGAUAACCUGGGGAAACCCAGGCUAAUACCGCAUACGUCCUACGGGAGAAAGGGGGCUUCGGCUCCCGCUAUCGGAUGAGCCUAUGUCGGAUUAGCUAGUUGGUGAGGUAACGGCUCACCAAGGCCACGAUCCGUAGCUGGUCUGAGAGGAUGAUCAGCCACAUCGGGACUGAGACACGGCCCGAACUCCUACGGGAGGCAGCAGUGGGGAAUAUUGGACAAUGGGGGGAACCCUGAUCCAGCCAUGCCGCGUGUGUGGAGAAGGCCCUCGGGUUGUAAAGCACUUUCAGCGAGGAAGAACGCCUAGCGGUUAAUACCCGCUAGGAAAGACAUCACUCGCAGAAGAAGCACCGGCUAACUCCGUGCCAGCAGCCGCGGGUAAUACGGAGGGGUGCAAGCGUUAAUCGGAAUUACUGGGGCGUAAAGCGCGCGUAGGUGGCUUGAUAGCCCGGUUGUGAAAGCCCCGGGGCUCAACCUGGGGAACGGGCAUCCGGAACUGUCAAGGCUAGAGUGCAGGAGAGGGAAGGUAGAAAUUCCCGGGGUGUAGCGGUGAAAUGCGUA
rnacentral:rRNA from 1 species